CUUGUUGAGGAAAUUGGUGUCAAAGUUGAUGAUGAGGAUGGAUGGAGUAUUUGGAAACUGCAACUACAUAUACAAUAGCUUCUUUCGAAACUGUUACGAAAGCGGUCAUUCGCUGCUUGCGUCUUCUGAAGAAAUUUAAUCCAAAUGAGGUUAAGCGAGAAAGUACAGCCUCAAACUUUAAACUAGGCAAUAAAUGCUUGGUCACCGAUCAAUUUAUGGAGCUUCCAUUAGAGAACUCCAUAUAUGAAAUGAUCCAUGCCGAAGGGCCAAAAGGUGCAACUCUUGUUGAGCUUUGCAGACGUCUUGGGGGCAAAUACAAUCCGAAAAUGCUCAUUAGGCGAGUGUCUUCUAUGCUUGAAAAAUUCAAUUUGAUUUCACAGGCUGAAGUCGUAGGUAAAACAAAACAGUACAGAUAUUGGACUUCGGAAAACUUCUCACUGUACAAAGCUAGUACCACUCUGCAAAAUUGUGAUGCCCUAUGGGAUUAUGACUAUUGUCCCAAUUUGUGGUCUUCUGUUCCAUCUAAAGAAUCAGAUUCUCUUAGCCCACAGGAUGAUUCUUGUGUUAAU